AUUGAACGCUGGCGGCAUGCCUUACACAUGCAAGUCGAACGGCAGCACGGGAGCAAUCCUGGUGGCGAGUGGCGAACGGGUGAGUAAUAUAUCGGAACGUGCCCAGUCGUGGGGGAUAACGUAGCGAAAGCUACGCUAAUACCGCAUACGAUCUAUGGAUGAAAGCGGGGGAUCGCAAGACCUCGCGCGAUUGGAGCGGCCGAUAUCAGAUUAGGUAGUUGGUGAGGUAAAGGCUCACCAAGCCGACGAUCUGUAGCUGGUCUGAGAGGACGACAGGGCACACGGUGACGGAGACACGGCACAGACUCCGACGGGAGGCAGCAGUGGGAAAUGUUGGACAAUGGGGGCAAGCCUGGUCCAGCAAUGCCGCGUGCAGGAUGAAGGCCUUCGGGUUGUAAACUGGUUUUGUACGGAGCGAAAAGGCUUCCACUAAUACUGGGGGCUCAUGACGGUACCGUAAGGAUAAGCACCGGAUAACUACGUGCCAGCAGCCGCCGUAACAC
rnacentral:rRNA from 1 species